ACGGUUAUAAUGCGUUGAAACACUAGUUUUCGUCCGGUCACCGAAGUUAAGCAACGUCGAGUUCGAUCAGUGCUUAGAUGGGUAACUGCUUGUGAAUACCAGGUGCUGUCAG